rnacentral:rRNA from 1 species
ANUGCUGGGUGGAUUAGUGGCGAACGGGUGAGUAACACGUGAGUAACCUGCCCUUGACUCUGGGAUAAGCGCUGGAAACGGCGUCUAAUACCGGAUACGACCUGCCCCGGCAUCGGGUGUGGGUGGAAAGUUUUUCGGUCAAGGAUGGACUCGCGGCCUAUCAGCUUGUUGGUGAGGUAAUGGCUCACCAAGGCGACGACGGGUAGCCGGCCUGAGAGGGUGACCGGCCACACUGGGACUGAGACACGGCCCAGACUCCUACGGGAGGCAGCAGUGGGGAAUAUUGCACAAUGGGCGAAAGCCUGAUGCAGCAACGCCGCGUGGGGGAUGACGGCCUUCGGGUUGUAAACCUCUUUUAGUAGGGAAGAAGGACUUCGGUUUGACGGUACCUGCAGAAAAAGCACCGGCUAACUACGUGCCAGCAGCCGCGGUAAUACGUAGGGUGCAAGCGUUUCCGGAAUUAUUGGGCGUAAAGAGCUCGUAGGCGGUUUGUCGCGUCUGCUGUGAAAACCCGAGGCUCAACCUCGGGCCUGCAGUGGGUACGGGCAGACUAGAGUGCGGUAGGGGAGAAUGGAAUUCCUGGUGUAGCGGUGGAAUGCGCAGAUAUCAGGAGGAACACCGAUGGCGAAGGCAGUUCUCUGGGCCGUUACUGACGCUGAGGAGCGAAAGCGUGGGGAGCGAACAGGAUUAGAUACCCUGGUAGUCCACGCCGUAAACGUUGGGAACUAGAUGUGGGGACCUUUCCACGGUCUCCGUGUCGCAGCUAACGCAUUAAGUUCCCCGCCUGGGGAGUACGGCCGCAAGGCUAAAACUCAAAGGAAUUGACGGGGGCCCGCACAAGCGGCGGAGCAUGCGGAUUAAUUCGAUGCAACGCGAAGAACCUUACCAAGGCUUGACAUAUACCGGAAACUUCCAGAAAUGGUUGCCCCGCAAGGUCGGUAUACAGGUGGUGCAUGGUUGUCGUCAGCUCGUGUCGUGAGAUGUUGGGUUAAGUCCCGCAACGAGCGCAACCCUCGUUCUAUGUUGCCAGCACGUCAUGGUGGGAACUCAUAGGAGACUGCCGGGGUCAACUCGGAGGAAGGUGGGGAUGACGUCAAAUCAUCAUGCCCCUUAUGUCUUGGGCUUCACGCAUGCUACAAUGGCCGGUACAAAGGGCUGCGAUACCGUAAGGUGGAGCGAAUCCCAAAAAGCCGGUCUCAGUUCGGAUUGAGGUCUGCAACUCGACCUCAUGAAGUCGGAGUCGCUAGUAAUCGCAGAUCAGCAACGCUGCGGUGAAUACGUUCCCGGGCCUUGUACACACCGCCCGUCAAGUCAUGAAAGUCGGUAACACCCGAAGCCGG